CAGUUCUAAACCUGUCAGACACUGCAAAUAUCUUCUUUCUCUUCUCUCCUAGGUUUCACAAGUCCAUUCAGGGAAAGCUCAAAAAGUAUUCACACCUACAAACAAAACAGAAGGGUCUUCACAGCUAAAGAAGUGCCCACCUCCAAUGCUAAGAAACACAGUGACCAAGGUCUCCUAGCAGGGAGAAAGAGCAUGAAACUGCCUUUGCUCCUUCCUAUGAGUCACCCUCUUUUACUGAGAAGGGACAGAAUGCUACGUGCUAAAGCUGCACAGACUUCGGUGUAGCUUCAGUUUUUCCAGCUAUGACAAAACAUGGUAUUCCACGGGACUCUGAUAGCAGAUGCAGUAAACAGAUGUGUUCCAACACAGAAACUGGGUGGAAAACUCCAUCAAGGCUUCAGGACACGUCGAUCUAUUGGCUUGUCAGCUCUCCCUGGACAACUCAGCACAACCUCUGUCCUUGAAAACAAUGCAGACUCCUCUGAACCCUACUAAUCCUGCUAGGUUGGUUUGACUAGAAUCCUCCAUCCUCCUUAUCUGGCCACCGCCUGAACAGACUCCUCACCAGUAUCAGCCUCCAGGUGAUGUCUACACUCCACACCUUUCUUGAGCAAGUACUCUGCUAGGUGAGUUUGCCUGGAAUGUCCCUUACUUUUGAUGUUUUCUCCUGGUAAAUUUCUAUCCUCUGAGCUCCACCCUGGCCCUUGGUGAUAAAUACCCACUGGUUCUUGUUUUCUGUACAUCUGUCAUGGUGGUCCUGUAUAAAGUCUACCUUGCUGUUUAACAAGCUUCAGUUAACAUCUUU